AGUCCUGCAGCGCCUUGAGCUCCUUGGCUGCUUUGCUUUUGAGCACCUGGGGGUUAAUGGGGCCAGAGACGUGCACCACUCACAGCACCGUCUCAUCCAGCUGCGUCUUGGGAGCCACUUGGAGGCGGUUCACCAGCUUCUUGGCGGCCACCACCACCAGGUGCACCAACCCAGUGGGCGUAGGUGGGGACCGGCCUGAGUAGAGGAGGAACUGAUGGUCUCCGACCUUCUCCAGGGUACUGGUGAAGGCCUUGGGGGCUGGGCCGGCAGUGGGCCUCACAGUCUGCAGCGCGGCCGCGCGCUCCGUGGGGUUGUUGAGCUGGAUGCGCUGCAGGUAGACGUGGGGUCGGCCCCUGUGCGCCAGAAAGUCCUCUUGCAGCAGCACGCAGUCGCGGCCGGACCCCGCGGCAAGGCCAGAGACGGAGGCGGGCCCGGGGCCGGCGGCCACGGGGCCAGGACCUGGGGACCCCAGCUGCAGGCAACGCACGCGGCGCAGCAGCCCCUCCCGCAGCAGUAGCACCGCCUCUCCAGCUUCAGCCAGCGCGCUCAGCGGGCGCAGCUGCACGAAGGGCACAAAGUCCGGCGCCACUGCGGGCUCCCGCUCCCCGGGAGUCACCCACAGCCGAUUGGCAGCCAUGUCCAGGGCCAGGAAGCCGUUGGCCACCAGGGCCGGCACUCCAGGGCCCAGCGGUACCGCCUCGCCGCGCUCCCGCAGGCCGCGCCAGGCGCGGGUGGCCGCCUCCAGGCAGGCAGACGGCUCGGCGGCGCCCGGCUCACCGCGGGACCAGGGCAGCAGUAUAAAACUUUUGGCCAGUCCUGGUGGCUCACACCUGUAAUCCCAGCACUUUGAGAGGCCGAGGUGGGCGGAUCACCUGAGGUCAGGAGUUUGAGACAAGCCUGGCCAACCUUGUGAAACCCCGUCUCUACUAAAAGUACAAAAACCAGCCGGGCAUGGUGGCAUGUGCCUGUAAUCCCAGCUACUCAGGAGGCGGAGGCGUGAGAAUCACUUGAACCUGGGAGGUGNNNNNNNNNNAGCCUGGGCAACAAGCAGCAGCUCCUGAAGGCUGGGGGCAGAGGGUUUUGAGGGGACCCGGGUUAGUGGGGCAUUGGCCUAGCCCUGGGCCGUGGGUAUCACUCAGCAUGCCACCACACCCGGCUAAUUUUUUGUAUUUUUAGUAGAGACAGGGUUUCACCAUGUUCACCAUGUUAGCCAGGGUGGUCUUGAUCUACUGACCUCAUGAUCCGCCUGCCUAGGCCUCCCAAAGUGCUGGGAUUACAGGCAUGAGCCACCGCGCCCAGCCCUUAAACUCCCUGUUUCUAAACAACAUGUUUUUGUUGCUGUUUCUUAUUUUAUCUCUCGUCAGUUUUAGACGUUGUUCAGCCGUAUAUGGCACAGGCAGCUGUACUUCUCCAGUGGCCCCCACACCCUCACAUGCCCUCACCUGGCUCCCCCGUCUCCUGGCUGUAGUUUGUUAGAAUUUGU
rnacentral:lncRNA from 1 species